AAUUAAUCAAUGAAGUCUUCUGCUCAGAAGAACAAGUAGGAGUGGUCAGUAGACACAUGAAAAGAUGUCCAACAUCUCUGGCCACAAAAGAAAUGCAAAUCAAAAUAACAUGGGGAUUCUACCUCACCUAGUUAGAAUGGCCUUUAUCAAGAAAACUAACAAUAACAGAUACUGGUGGGGAUGUGGC